UUGAACGCUGGCGGCAGGCCUAACACAUGCAAGUCGAACGGUAACAGGAAGCAGCUUGCUGCUUCGCUGACGAGUGGCGGACGGGUGAGUAAUGUCUGGGAAACUGCCUGAUGGAGGGGGAUAACUACUGGAAACGGUAGCUAAUACCGCAUAAUGUCGCAAGACCAAAGAGGGGGACCUUCGGGCCUCUUGCCAUCGGAUGUGCCCAGAUGGGAUUAGCUUGUUGGUGGGGUAACGGCUCACCAAGGCGACGAUCCCUAGCUGGUCUGAGAGGAUGACCAGCCACACUGGAACUGAGACACGGUCCAGACUCCUACGGGAGGCAGCAGUGGGGAAUAUUGCACAAUGGGCGCAAGCCUGAUGCAGCCAUGCCGCGUGUAUGAAGAAGGCCUUCGGGUUGUAAAGUACUUUCAGCGGGGAGGAAGGGAGUAAAGUUAAUAUCUUUGCUCAUUGACGUUACCCGCAGAAGAAGCACCGGCUAACUCCGUGCCAGCAGCCGCGGUAAUACGGAGGGUGCAAGCGUUAAUCGGAAUUACUGGGCGUAAAGCGCACGCAGGCGGUUUGUUAAGUCAGAUGUGAAAUCCCCGGGCUCAACCUGGGAACUGCAUCUGAUACUGGCAAGCUUGAGUCUCGUAGAGGGGGGUAGAAUUCCAGGUGUAGCGGUGAAAUGCGUAGAGAUCUGGAGGAAUACCGGUGGCGAAGGCGGCCCCCUGGACGAAGACUGACGCUCAGGUGCGAAAGCGUGGGGAGCAAACAGGAUUAGAUACCCUGGUAGUCCACGCCGUAAACUAUGUCGACUUGGAGGUUGUGCCCUUGAGGCGUGGCUUCCGGAGCUAACGCGUUAAGUCGACCGCCUGGGGAGUACGGCCGCAAGGUUAAAACUCAAAUGAAUUGACGGGGGCCCGCACAAGCGGUGGAGCAUGUGGUUUAAUUCGAUGCAACGCGAAGAACCUUACCUGGUCUUGACAUCCACGGAAGUUUUCAGAGAUGAGAAUGUGCCUUCGGGAACCGUGAGACAGGUGCUGCAUGGCUGUCGUCAGCUCGUGUUGUGAAAUGUUGGGUUAAGUCCCGCAACGAGCGCAACCCUUAUCCUUUGUUGCCAGCGGUCCGGCCGGGAACUCAAAGGAGACUGCCAGUAAUAAACUGGAGGAAGGUGGGGAUGACGUCAAGUCAUCAUGGCCCUUACGACCAGGGCUACACACGUGCUACAAUGGCGCAUACAAAGAGAAGCGACCUCGCGAGAGCAAGCGGACCUCAUAAAGUGCGUCGUAGUCCGGAUUGGAGUCUGCAACUCGACUCCAUGAAGUCGGAAUCGCUAGUAAUCGUGGAUCAGAAUGCCACGGUGAAUACGUUCCCGGGCCUUGUACACACCGCCCGUCACACCAUGGGAGUGGGUUGCAAAAGAAGUAGGUAGCUUAACCUUCGGGAGGGCGCUUACCACUUUGUGAUUCAUGACUGGGGUG
rnacentral:rRNA from 1 species